CAGAGCUAGCGACCUUGAAACCGCCUACUGUGUGCAACUGCCGGGCCUCCCCAAAUCCUUCCACGACUCUCUAUUCUGGGCCUCAUGGCACCAGCCUGCUGCAUUUAUUCAAACUAACCUUGUGGAGCUGCGAUGUACGCGCUGCUUCUCAAUGCCGUCAACUCGGCGACCAGU